UACGUAGGUGGCUAGCGUUGUCCGGAUUUACUGGGCGUAAAGAGCGCGCAGGCGGUCGUUCAAGUCGAGUGUGAAAGCCCCCGGCUCAACUGGGGAGGGUCACUCGAUACUGAUCGACUCGAAGGCAGGAGAGGGAAGUGGAAUUCCCGGUGUAGUGGUGAAAUGCGUAGAUAUCGGAAGGAACGCCGGUGGCGAAAGCGGCGUGCUGGACCUCUUCUGACGCUGAGGCGCGAAAGCCAGGGGAGCAAACGGG
rnacentral:rRNA from 1 species